rnacentral:rRNA from 1 species
GACGAACGCUGGCGGCGUGCCUAAUACAUGCAAGUCGAACGCAGUGGGGACGGGUGAGUAACACGUGGGUAACCUCCCAUCAGAGGGGAUAACACUUGGAAACAGGUGCUAAACCGAUACUGAUGGAUGGACCCGCGGUGCAUUAGCUAGUUGGUGAGGUAACGGCUCACCAAGGCCACGAUGCAUAGCCGACCUGAGAGGGUGAUCGGCCACACUGGGACUGUGACACGGCCCAGACUCCUACGGGAGGCAGCAGUGGGGAAUCUUGGGCAAUGGGCGAAAGUCUGACCGAGCAAGGCCGCGUGAGUGAAGAAGGUUUUCGGAUCGUAAAACUCUGUUGGUAGAGAGGCGGUAUCUAACCAAGAAGCAACGGCUAACUACGUGCCAGCAGCCGCGGUAAUAC